AACGAACGCUGGCGGCAGGCUUAACACAUGCAAGUCGAACGGAUCCUUCGGGAUUAGUGGCAGACGGGUGAGUAACGCGUGGGAACGUACCCUUUGCUACGGAAUAACUCAGGGAAACUUGAGCUAAUACCGUAUGUGCCCUACGGGGGAAAGAUUUAUCGGCAAAGGAUCGGCCCGCGUUGGAUUAGCUAGUUGGUGGGGUAAUGGCCUACCAAGGCGACGAUCCAUAGCUGGUCUGAGAGGAUGAUCAGCCACACUGGGACUGAGACACGGCCCAGACUCCUACGGGAGGCAGCAGUGGGGAAUAUUGGACAAUGGGCGCAAGCCUGAUCCAGCCGUGCCGCGUGAGUGAUGAAGGUCUUAGGAUUGUAAAGCUCUUUCACCGGUGAAGAUAAUGACGGUAGCCGGAGAAGAAGCCCCGGCUAACUUCGUG
rnacentral:rRNA from 1 species